AAUAAAGUGCCUGAUAAAAGGAUUAUUCUGAUAGGAUAAAUAAUGUAGUAAUCUACCUUUAUUA
rnacentral:tRNA from 1 species